AAGUCGUAACAAGGUUUCCGUAGGUGAACCUGCGGAAGGAUCAUUAGCAAUCGUCUCAUUGGAGACCCGUUUCUUGUGCACCUGAUUAGAUAUGACCUAGGUCAUACACCCACUUAUACAAUAAACCUGAUAAACCAUAUGGCAAAAUAAUACAAAUACAACUUUUAACAACGGAUCUCUUGGCUCUCC
rnacentral:misc_RNA from 1 species